AGCAGCCGCGGUAAUUCCAGCUCCAAUAGCGUAUAUUAAAGUUGUUGCAGUUAAAAAGCUCGUAGUUGAAUUUCGGGAUCAAGUCGUCGGUCGUGCUCAGGUACGUACUGGCGUCAUUGAUUUCUCCCUUCUGACGAACCAUGAUGUCAUUAACUUGGUGUCAUGGGAAAUCAGGACUGUUACUUUGAAAAAAUUAGAGUGUUUAAAGCAGGCUCACGCUUGAAUACAUUAGCAUGGAAUAAUGAAAUAGGACGUUCGAUCCUAUUUUGUUGGUUUUAGGAUCAACGUAAUGAUUAAUAGGGAUAGUUGGGGGCAUUAGUAUUCAAUUGUCAGAGGUGAAAUUCUUGGAUUUAUUGAAGACUAACUACUGCGAAAGCAUUUGCCAAGGAUAUUUUCAUUAAUCAAGAACGAAAGUUAGGGGAUCGAAGACGAUCAGAUACCGUCGUAGUCUUAACCAUAAACUAUGCCGACUAGGGAUCGGAUGAUGU
rnacentral:rRNA from 1 species